UACGUAGGGCGCAAGCGUUGUCCGGAAUUAUUGGGCGUAAAGAGCUCGUAGGCGGCCAGUUGCGUCUGCUGUGAAAUCCCGGGGCUCAACCCCGGGCGUGCAGUGGAUACGGGCUGGCUAGAGGCAGGCAGGGGAGAACGGAAUUCCCGGUGUAGCGGUGAAAUGCGCAGAUAUCGGGAGGAACACCGGUGGCGAAGGCGGUUCUCUGGGCCUGUACUGACGCUGAGGAGCGAAAGCGUGGGGAGCGAAACAGG
rnacentral:rRNA from 1 species